AGCGGCACUGAUGUAUGCACGGACUUACUAGAAAUGCAAAGUGGUUCUCAUAUGAACGUUAACACCCCACACGGUCAAGGUUCAAGUGCAAGGGAUACCCAUGAGUAUACAGAGUUAAGACCGAAUGUCAUGGAUAUUAAAGAGCAUGCUUAUAAAACGCUAGAACAAAGACCAACGCCUAACCAAGAACCAAAAGUUAACGAAAACCUUAAGAUAUGUUAAUUAAAUCUUAUUAUUUUAUUGAUUAUCUUAUCCGCUAUUGUUAUGUUGAACAUUUUCAAACUAAUUGGAUAUU